UACCGAGUUUACAACUCCCGAACCCAAUGUGAACCAUACCAAACUGUUGCCUCGGCGGGGUCACGCCCCGGGUGCGUCGCAGCCCCGGAACCAGGCGCCCGCCGGAGGGACCAACCAAACUCUUUCUGUAGUCCCCUCGCGGACGUUAUUUCUUACAGCUCUGAGCAAAAAUUCAAAAUGAAUCAAAACUUUCAACAACGGAUCUCUUGGUUCUGGCAUCGAUGAAGAACGCAGCGAAAUGCGAUAAGUAAUGUGAAUUGCAGAAUUCAGUGAAUCAUCGAAUCUUUGAACGCACAUUGCGCCCGCCAGUAUUCUGGCGGGCAUGCCUGUCCGAGCGUCAUUUCAACCCUCGAACCCCUCCGGGGGUCCGGCGUUGGGGAUCGGGAACCCCUAAGACGGGAUCCCGGCCCCGAAAUACAGUGGCGGUCUCGCCGCAGCCUCUCAUGCGCAGUAGUUUGCACAACUCGCACCGGGAGCGCGGCGCGUCCACGUCCGUAAAACACCCAACUUCUGAAAUGUUGACCUCGGAUCAGGUAGGAAUACCCGCUGAACUUAAGCAUAUCAAUAAGCGGAGGAAAAGAAACCAACAGGGAUUGCCCCAGUAACGGCGAGUGAAGCGGCAACAGCUCAAAUUUGAAAUCUGGCCCCUAGGGUCCGAGUUGUAAUUUGUAGAGGAUGCUUUUGGUGAGGUGCCGCCCGAGUUCCCUGGAACGGGACGCCGCAGAGGGUGAGAGCCCCGUCUGGCUGGGCCACCGAGCCUCUG
rnacentral:rRNA from 1 species